ACUCCUACGGGAGGCAGCAGUGGGGAAUAUUGCACAAUGGGCGCAAGCCUGAUGCAGCCAUGCCGCGUGUGUGAAGAAGGCCUUCGGGUUGUAAAGCACUUUCAGUCGUGAGGAAGGUAGUGUAGUUAAUAGCUGCAUUAUUUGACGUUAGCGACAGAAGAAGCACCGGCUAACUCCGUGCCAGCAGCCGCGGUAAUACGGAGGGUGCGAGCGUUAUCCGGAUUUAUUGGGUUUAAAGGGUCCGUAGGCGGAUUAAUAAGUCAGUGGUGAAAUCCCAUCGCUUAACGAUGGAACUGCAUUGAUACUGUUAGUCUUGAAUGAGGGUGCAGUGGUUGGAAUGUGUAGUGUAGCGUGAAAUGCAUAGAUAUUACACAGAACACCGAUUGCGAAGGCAGAUCACUAACCCUAAAUUGACGCUGAGGGACGAAAGCGUGGGGAGCGAAACAGGAUUAGAUACCCUGUAGGCUCUG
rnacentral:rRNA from 1 species